ensembl:snRNA U1 U1 spliceosomal RNA
AGACUUACCUGGCGGGGAGACACCAUGAUCAUGAAGGUGCUUCUCCCAGGACCAGGCCAACCCAUUGCACUGCGGGUUGUGCUGCCGCCUGUGGUGCCGAGUUUGUGUUGGUGGCAACUGCUCGCACUCUCCC